rnacentral:lncRNA from 1 species
AUAAUAAUAGUAAUAAUAAUAAUAAUAAUAAUAAUAAUAAUAAUAAUGAUAAUGAUAAUGAUAAUGAUAAUGAUAAUAAUAAUAAUAAUAAUAAUAAUAAUAAUAAUAAUAAUAAUAAUAAUAAUAAUAUUAAUAAUAAUAAUAAUAAUAAUAAUAACAAUAAUAAUAAUAAUAAUAAUAAUGAUAAUGAUAAUAAUAAUAAUAAUAAUAAUAAUAAUAAUAAUAAUAAUAAUAAUAAUAAUAAUAAUUAUUAUUAUUAUUAUUAUUAUUAUUAUUAUUAUCAUUAUCAUUAUCAUUAUUAUUAUUAUUAUUAUUAUUAUUAUUAUUAUUAUUAUUAUUAUUUAGUGAGAGAGCAGUGCAUGCCAUCAAAGUGACACUGGGGUAAAAUAUACGAAGACCAGUAUACCCAUCAUGUCUACCUGUCUGAUAAGGGUAUACCAGGCACAUGCAUCACAACCAUAUGUGAGCGACAUGGUGAUCUCCUAUCAAGAUACACAGCACAUAACCUUGCAGUUGGGGCCCAGUUAGAAUUUUCUUCUGGUCGAGUAACCCAUCCCACUCAAAAAGUCCAUGAAUAAGGAUUGCUUAAGGCUGUUGAACGAACCAACCAUGUUUCCAAAGGUGAAUUAUCCAAACCUCUAAGAAUUCCUUUCAACACACAGCUAUGUUGUUCCCCCACUACUUCUGCUCAUGGUCAGAAAUGCACAUAUCGUCAGCCACUAAGGGACAUGGUCAACUGGUUAAGGUCAAACAACUGACAAACAAAUCUGUGGUAUUGAGCAGAAUAUUUGCUGUAGGCCAUCUUUUAUACCAAGACAAAACUUAUUAUUAUUAUUAUUAUUAUUGAGUGAGCGAGCAGAGCAUGCCAUCAAAGUGACACUGGGGUAAAAUAUACGAAGCCCAGUAUACCCAUCAUGACUACCCGUCUGAUAAGGGUACACCAGGUACAUGCAUCACAACCAUAUGUGCGCGACAUGGUGAUCUCAUAUCAAGAUAAACAGCACAUGACCUUGCAGGUGGAGCCCAGUUAGAAUUUUCUUCAGAUCGAGUAACCCAUCCCGCUCAAAAGGUCCCUGAAUAAGGGUUGUUUAAGGACGUUGAACGAAACACCCAUGUUUCUAGAGGUGAAUUAUUCAAACCCCAAAGAAUCCCUCUCAACACAUGGCUAUGAUGCUCCCCCACUACUUCUGCUCGUGAUCAGAGAUGCACAUAUCGUCAGCCACUAAGGGACAUGCUCAACUGGUUAAGGUCAAACAACUGACAAGCAAAUCUGUGGUAUUGAGCAGAAUAUUUGCUGUAGCCCAUCUUUAUACCAAGACAAAACAAUGUACAUGAUAACACUUCCAAUCAGUUAAGAUCAGAAGCCAUGAGAGCCACUGCCUGGUACUGCAUCAGGGCAUUUAUUAUAUUAUUAUCAUUAUUAUUAUUAUUAUUAUUAUUAUUAUUAUUAUUAUUAUUAUUAUUAUCAAUCUCCUGUUCUCACCUAAAUUUGAGUAUGUUCACAUUUGGAGAGGGAAAAGCUUCUCCAUGCUUAGAAUGCAUAAGAGAAGCCGUACUUGUCGACGCCACCACACACUUAUGCGCACGCACACACGUACGCGCGCGCACACAUACACACAUACAUACACUCACACAUUUAGCAAAAGAUAAAAAAUUGCAAGAUUUAUGUAGGCUAUUAGUCUGCAACGUUGAAAAUGGAGUCUCUUCUGCUUGUAUCGUAAUUGGGAUAAGAGGUUCUGACGUUUCUGCCAAUGUAUUUUUUCUUUGGAAAGAGAAACGGAGAGAAAGAAAGAAAAAGAAAGAAAGAGAGAGAGAGAGAGAGAGAGAGAGAGAGAUACUUAUUCCUUCGUAUUUAGUCCAUGAGAGAAUGGAUGCAGCAGAGAUUGCAAUGACAUGUCACAGAAUUAGCGGCAGCACAUACGUGGGAAAGAUGUGUUAGCAAAGUGGUUGCAGAGGGUAAGGAGAAGAAUCUUGUUCGUUUGGAGGCAUAGGCAUAAGAGCGUCCAGGGUGGGUCGGAUUUUAAAUGUAUACGUACGGUUAUACUAAACAUGUUGCUAAAUAGUAGAGUACAUUAUAGAAAUCUUAUUCUCAUGCCAAGCGUAAGUUAGUAAAUUAUACCAAAUUAGCAUAACUAUUCUAAAUAUGGUAAUCAUAAACGAUAGUAAAUGUGGCCAUUGACAGUGGGCAUAAUACAUUCUACGGCAGACUUCAUUGCUAUCUUCGAUGCAUUCACAAGCGCUGACAUGGACACGGUGGGCAGCAGAGAAUACGACUAAGGGACGGCAUGGUGAUUGAAAUAUAUAUAGCGGCUGAUUGAUAAAUUAGACAAAGAAAACACAUAAUUACAUGAUCCUUGUCGUAUGGGGUCGGGCAGCUUUAAUAUAGAAAAUUCUAGUUCAGAAGAUUGUAGCUGGCAGCAAUAAAAUGAUACGAUUUGAUCAGUGCCAAAGGUAUGAUAAUAACUACUUAUCUGAGGGAAAUUAACAAUAACCGUACUGAUUGAUAAAAUAAUUACAAGACUCACGUGCGUGCAUGUGUGUGUAUGUGUAUGUGUGUGAUUGUGUGUGUGCAUGUUUGUGUGUACACAUGUGUGUAUGCGUGUAUGUAAAUACAUACAUACACGUGCACACACACACAUCACAUAUAUAUAUGAAGCAUACAGACAAAAAUAUACAUAGUUACAAAGAAAAGUUAAAUUUGUUUCUCAGGUAACAAAUCAAAACUAUGACAGAACGAAGAAUUUUCAUAUAAAGAUAAAAUAGUGGAAAAUAUAUAUUUUAUGUAAAAAAAAAAAUCAACGAUACUGGAUGAAUAUGUGUGUUCAGUACGUACACUCUGAAGUGAAAGCAUGAAUAGAGCUAUGAAAACAGAAGAAAUAAUGAAAUUAAAUGCAUCAAUUUGAUGUGCAGUAAAAUAAGUAUCAACUUUUGUAUAUAGUUUCAAAAGCAGAAAUGUACCUAUUUUAAUACACACACACACGCACAUAUGUAUGUAUGUUUAUAUAUAUAUAUAUAUAUAUAUAUAUAUUAACACGCAAAUAGUGAGCGGUGUUCCGCAAGGCACUGUUCAGGGACCACUACAGUUCAUAAUGGCCCUCUCAGACAUGCCCUCAACCACGCAGAGAGCCACGAUCACAAGUUAUGCAGAUGAUACAAAAGUUUCACAGGCAAUACAGAACCCUGAAGACACUGAGCACCUGCAAUGUGAGCUGGACAAAAUAUACAAGUGGGCUGAAAAGAAUAGCAUGCAGUUCAAUGCUGAAAAGUUUCAAGCUUUAUACUAUCAGCAUGCAAAACUAAAUGCAAUACCCAGUAAAUACACUGGACCUGGAGGGAUUGCAAUCCCAGAGACACAAUCAGUGCGAGACUUGGGUAUUUACAUGAGUGAUGAUGCAGCCUUUCAUGUGCAUGUUGCUAAAUUGGCAAUGAAAUGUAGGCGACUGACCGGAUGGAUUCUUAGAACCUUUAGAACAAGAGACCAGGAAACCAUGAUGGUCCUCUGGAGGACACUUGUCCUAAGCCACUUUGACUAUUGCUCUCAGCUAUGGUCACCAUCCAGUGUCAAGUUAAUCACAGAACUUGAGGCGAUCCAACGAAGCUACACGAAGCAGAUAGCCUCUGUGCAGCAUAUAAGCUAUUGGGAAAGACUCAAGAGAUUGAGACUCUAUUCCUUAGGGCGUAGGCGAGAAAGAUAUGCCAUAAUAUACAUCUGGAAGAUCCUAGAAGGACUUGUCCCAAACUUUGGCAUCGAGAGUUACACAAAUGCCAGAACUGGGCGCCACUGCAUAGUGCCAAGGACUCCAAAUUUGCUGUCAAGAUGUAGGACAAGAUACUGUGAUAGCCUGGGCUUCCGAGGACCACAGUUCUUUAAUAUCCUCCCGAAGAACCUAAGAGACCUGCAUGGGGUGGAUGCAGAUGUCUUUAAAAUGAAACUGGAUCUCUUCUUGUCAGGUGUCCCAGAUGAACCAACUUCACGGCAGGAGGUGCAGAUGAGGGCAGCUGCAUCGAACUCUCUCAUGCACCAGAUGGCAAUUGCUAAAAAGCAUUCGUGAAUUAAAAUCAUGUAGCAACACCAAAUGGCGGUGCCCCAGCAUGGCCACAGCUUGUGAGCUGAAACUAAAUAAAUAAAAAAAUAUAUAUAUAUAUAUAUAUAUAUAUAUAUAUAUAUAUAUGUAUGUAUAUAUAUUGAGAGAGAGAGAGAGAGAGAGAUACAUAUACAUAUCGAUAUAUAUAUAUAUAUAUAUAUAUAUAUAUAUAUAUAUAUAUGUAUAUAUAUAUGUAUGUAUAUAUAUAUAUAUAUAUAUAUAUAUAUACAUAUACAUAUACAUACAUGUAAAUUUAUAUUUAUACACACACUCAUACAUAUAUAUUGUAUGCAUGUAUGUGAGUAUGGUGCAUAUAAUUGGGAAGUGAACGGGCAUGGCAUACACCCAUUUGUUAUCUGAGUGACCCUAAUGGAGUGGAUUCUUCGAUAUCUUUCAUUUGACAUAAAAACUGUGGCAUGUACUGAUUGCCCAUUCCUUAUGUUUUCCCUGUAUAUUGCACCGAAUUGUGACCAUGAAAGAACUAUUUUGCCCAUGUUUAUGACCCUGAAAUCAACAAUAUAAUUAUGACAGCUAAUGAACUUGUGAAUAUAUAUGAAAGAACUGAUACAGACUUAUCCCAAAGAAUCAUUGGUAAAAUUUAAUUAUAAGAACAACAGAAUAAAAAAUGAAACAGUUGACUGAGAAAAUGCUAUAUGUGUAGUUUGCACGAAAAGCACAAACACAUAGGAGUUCAUCAGGUUAAAAGCUUGGCAUGGAUUAGUGACAAGUUUAUGAAAUGCCACUUCGAAGGCUGCAUAUAUGCAAUCCAAGAACGAGAGAUCCCCGCCAAAUAUUUACAACAUCAAAAGGCCGAAAACGUUGGCAGAAAACAAAUGUCGAGUGUGCUAGACCAGGAAUGAAGCCAUGAACUAUAUUAUUGCCACAGCUGUGAAAGAAUGCAUUCCAGACAUCUUCACAUUAUGCGGUGGCCAGAACAGGCUGGAACAGGAUAACAAAAAAGAAAACAUCUAUAGAAGUUGACUAUAUCGAGACCGAUUGGUGAAAAGAAUAUUGAUAGAACUUAGAAAUUAAAGCAGCUACUAAUUAAAACACAACGAGUCAGAUAUUGUUGUGUGGGACCUCAAGGAAAAUAUAUGUUGUGUUGUGGAAAUCAGCUGCUCUCUGGACACAAGUAUGGCUAGAAAAAUACAAGAAAAAGAGGACAUCUGCUGACCAUCGAUAAGAAGUUUGCAAAUCCAGUAUUCAAGACACAUUUUGGGCUUCAUACCUAUAAUUAUUGGAGCAAUAGAAUACAUACCAGCCUAUCUGGAGCAAAGUAUGGCUGAACUUGGGUCCUUGGGGAGAGAACGCAAAUCUUUGAUUCAAAUGCUACAAAUAAUCAUAAUAUCUGAGAGUAUAUAAAUUUGCAAGACUUUGCAAGACUUAAAGAAUGAUAGUUAAAACAUGAUGCUUCCUUCAAAACCUUGCUACCAAGUUGGUAGCCGGUCACAAUUUACUCUAAAUUAAAAAGACAAAGAAAAGAACAUACUUAUACAAGAGGUUUCUUUCAAUUUCUGUCUACCAAAUUCAUUCACAGGAUUUUUGUCGGCCUGAAGCUGUAGUAGAAGACAUUUGCCAAGUUUCAACGCAGAGGGAGUGAACCCGGUACCAUGGGGUUAGGAAACGUACUUCAUACCAAACAGCCACACCUACGCCUAUUUUCCAAGCUGCACCUGAUGACGUAUGUCCUAAGCACUAAGCACCGAGUGAUGAACUUCACUUUCUGCGAAAUUCAAAUUAACGUUUACACUUCGUAGUUUCGAUGCCGCAGGUCUACAUAAUCUAGAUAGAUUCGAAUAUUAAUUCAUAUGUAUUUCCUUUUACUAAAGAAGGCCCUGCUUGGGUUUUAUUAAAUGCACCCAGCCUCAGUAUAAUAUAAAAUGAAAUAUAUUUAUUUCAAUGUAUAAGUGGGUGAUGGUGGUGUGUGUAUUACACGCACACACAUUUUCGACAGCAGAUUCUGGCUACCAAAUCCCUUUCACGUAUUAGUCGUUUAAAGAUCAAAUGAAAAUGCUUGUGUGAAGUGCAAAGCAAUGAAAUGGAAUAGAAGUUAGAAGCAUAAAUUUGCAAAGUGAAUUUCGUAACUAAAUAAUCAUAUUAGUGCCUAAAACACACACAUGCACUCGUGCGCAUGUACUGUUAUGCUAAUUGCAUAAAACAAGAAAGGAGAGCUGGUUGAUAAAUGGAGUGAACUAUAAGAUUCAUAAAGAAUACGGAUGUCAACUACAACUACAUUGAAUUGUAAGGUGUUCGAACCCAUAAAGUAGCUUCUCGUCGUGGGCGAGUGACCUCUCCAUAUAUAUAUAUAUAUAUAUAUAUAUAUAUAUAUAUAUAUAUAUAUGUGUGUGUGUGUGUGUGUGUGUGUGUGUGUGUGUGUGUGUGUGUGUGUGUGUGUGUGUGUGUGUGUGUGUGUGUGUGUUGUGUGUAUGCGUGGGUAUGGGUAUGUGUGUGUAUUUUUCUGUUUUUAAUGUCACAGUAAAUUGCAUGACACCUUUGCCUUACUACAGAUUUUCAUAAAACAAUACUUAUGCAUUUUCCCCUAUAGUACAGUCAUUUUGAAAUCUUUGUUGUAUGCAUGAAUCCUCUUUGUUAUAAAAAAUAACUGCAGCGUUGUUCUUGAUGCUUUUGCAGUUCCUGUAGACCAAAUACAAAUUAUUUGUCUGGUGCGCAAUGGGGAAGAUAUUUGAUUGACUGUAUACUUCGUCGUACAGGAUCUGCUCCAAGUACUGCGAUCGUCUGCACUACUUGAUGAUGGUACACUGGUGAACUUUCUUAUGAGUUCUAGAGCUACACUGACCACUAGUAAUAUUUCGGUUUAUAUAUUCUACAACCUGUUGAUUUCGACCUCCAGUUAUUUGUACUUGACAAGUUUCUCUGAAACUUUAACGAAUGUUUUUCUACCGUUUCAGAAGGUUGUGCAAUGUCAAUAAGAAUACACUUAACAUCCUUCCUGUCCUUCGUAACAAUAUCGGGCAUCUUGGCUUUCAUUUCCUAGUCAAUACGGACGAAGAAAUCCCUUUAGCCCCAUUUAAAAGGAAUGUAAUCUACACAUAUCUCCUGAGGAAUAAAACAAACAUGUAUGCCCACACAAAUACGAGCGCUCUCAUGAAUCUCAUUAAAGGAUAUAUAUAAAUGCAUUUACAUUUGCAUAUAUAUAUAUAUAUAUAUAUAUAUAUAUAUAUAUAUAUAUAUAACAUCAACAGCAAUAAUAAUAAUAAUAAUAAUAAUAAUAGUAAUAGUAAUAAUAAUAAUAAUAAUAAUAAUAAUAAUAAUAAUAAUAAUAAUAAUAAUAAAAAUAAAACCAAUGAAAUAAAAGAAUUAGACCAAAGCCAAACUUACAAAUACUUAGGAAUCCAUGAACUAGAUAAGACACAACACACACAAAUGAAAGAGAAAAUAAAAAAAUAAUAUUAUAGACGAGUUAGAUCAAUGCUGAAAACAGAGCUCAAUGCUAAAAACAAGACAAUAGGUAUUAACACUUUAGCUGUCCCAGUUAUACGUUACAGCUACAAUAUCCUUAACUGGACACUAAAUGAACUGACCAAAAUAGAUAGGAAAACAAGAAAAAUAAUGACAGGAUCUAGGAUGCAUCACCCAAAAUAUGACAUAGAAAGACUAUAUAUACAACGUAUAGAAGGUGGUAGAGGCCUUAUACAGCUGGAAAACUACUAUAAAAUAACCACCAUAGGACUGCAAAAAUAUCUACUUCAGAAGGAAGGAAAACUGAUACAAAUAGCAGCAAAACACGAGCAAAACAAAAAACUGUUCUCAGUAUUUAAGGAAGCUGACAAAUACAAACAAGAAAUCAUACCACCUAAUAAAUAUGAAGAAGAAGAAGAAGAAGAAGAAGAAGAAGAAGAAGAAGAAGAAGAAGAAGAAGAAGAAGAAGAAGAAGAAGAAGGAGAAGAUGAAGAAGAAGAAGGAGAAGAAGGAAGAAGAAGAAGAAGAAGAAGAAGAAGAAGGAGAAGAAGAAGAAGAAGAAGAAGAAGAAGAAGAAGAAGAAGAAGAAGAAGAAGAAGAAGAAGAAGAAGAAGAAGAAGAAGAAGAAGAAGAAGAAACAACAAAAGCUAUAAAACAAAUGAAAUCCAAACUAAAAAUAGAACAGCAACGAACCAUGAUAAAACGAUGGCAAGAAAAUCCCCUUCAUGGUAAAUACUGGACUAAACUAAACGCAAAAUAGACAAAGAAAAAUCCCAGCAAUGGUUGAGAAGCUCAGGACUCAAAGCAGAGACAGAGGGAUUUUUAAUUGCAGCACAAGACCAAAGCCUCCCCACCAGAAAUUACCAAAAACAUGUAAUGAAAAGAAAUAUAACAAGUAACUGCAGAAUAUGUGGAGAUGGACAAGAAACAAUAAAUCAUAUUAUCUCUGGCUGCCCAGUCCUGGGCUAAGAAGGAACAUAUUCACAGACAUGACAGAGUUGGAACCUACAUACACUGGAAGCUAUGCCAACAUUAUGGAAUAACAACAGAAAAAGAUAGUAUAGGCACACACAAGAAAAGGUCACAGAAAACGAGAAAGCAACCAUACUCUGGGAUAUGCCGAUACACGCAGAUAGAGAAAUUAAGGCCAACAGACCAGAUAUAGUUGUCAGAGAUCAUGAAGAAAAAAAAUGCUUUCUAAUUGAUGUAUCAAUACCGGCAGAUGACAACGUGUCUCUAAAAGAAAUGGAGAAACUUUCAAAAUACAAAGACCUGGAAAUAGAGGUAACCAGAAUGUGGAAUCUAAAAGCAGAAACAAUUCCUAUCAUAGUAGGUGCAUUAGGCAUGAUAAAAAAAUAUUCAGACAAAUACAUAACAAAAACACCAGGACUUAUAAACACAUAUAACAUACAGAAAAUUGCUCUACUAGGCACUGCACACAUCCUACGCAGAACACUUUCCAUACAAUAACCAUCAAAGCAUCACAACAAAUCACAGCACAUACCCAAGGUACACAGAGCUGCGUCGGUAGUGAAGUGAAAGCACGCUAUAAAAAUGAAACUACUGAAUAAUAAUAAUAAUAAUAAUAAUAAUAAUAAUAAUAAUAAUAAUAAUAAUAAUAAUAAUAAUAAUAAUAAUAAUAAUAAUAAUAAUAAUUGAUGUAGGAAACGGAAGAUAGAUUUAGCACUAGUCUUUAUUCAGUACGACGAUCGUUUCGACCCAUCCUGCAACUAUCCGUUAUGGAUAGGAUAUUGUGUAUCCAAUUGUAUUGCAUCAAUCUGUGCAGUAUAUAUAUAUAUAUAUAUAUAUAUAUAUAUAUAUAUAUAUAUACAUGCAAUGGAUAAUACAAUGCUAUAUUUUUGAGAUGAGGAAUUUAUAUAUUAUAUAUUUACAUUAGUCAGUGUGGUGUCCUCAGUUCAUUUGUUGCUUUCACUAUGUUUCGGCUGCUGUCUGCUCGAGCCUUUUUCAGGUGUCUUGUGUCACUGUAACAUUUUUGCAUCAGUUAAUUUUUCUGUUCUGUUUUUUUUAGUGAAUACAUCUUAGUGCCUUACUUGAGAUUGAACUGAGAACCUCUAGGUGUGUGCACUGCAUUAACCAACGCCUUUAACCACUAUGUUAUGCCUCUGCAAGGCACUCUGUAGUGGAUAAAGGAAGGAAAAAAUAUCACUUUAUGUUUGUCAAUGUGUAUAUAUCUGCACGAGUGUACAUGUGUGAGAGUGUGUUUGUGUGUUUUCAUCCAGCACCAAGUGAUGAUGUAGCCAAAACAAGCAGAAUGUCCAGUCAGCCGUGUCAAAUCAAAAUUAAACACGUUCUACUGAACUGGUUGUUAAGGCGAAUGUCAUUGAUUAAUAACAAUGUCAUUUUGAUUUUUUUUUAAAUGCUUCAAUUUUAAAAUAAAAUCUUGACCAUGCUAUAAGAAUAUACAGAUAUACGAAUAAUUUAUAGACAUAAAUGUACAUAUAAAAAUAUAGAAACAAUUUAAAUCUAUAAUAGAUAUAUAUACUAUAUAUACAUAUAAGUUACAAAUGUACUUAAACAUCUGUGAAUAAAUAUAAAUAUACCUAUAUAUGUAAGAAAAAUGCUUUACUUGCAAUUUUCGAGUAAAAAGCAAAGGAAAUCAAAAGAAAAAGAAAUGUAAAGCAAAAGAGAUGAUUAGCAAAGUAAAGCAAAAAAAAAAAAAAUGGAAUAAAUAAAAUAUCAGAGAAGGGGAAAAAGUAGAAACAAAAUGAAAUAUAAAGACAACGGAAAAAGAAACGAGGAUGUUUGACUUACUGAGAAGUCAAACUAAAUGAUGAAUAUUUUACCGAAUUGGUUAUGAAGAUGGAUAUGAUUAAUACAAAGACAUUGCCACAAGGAAAUUAUUUAGAGUUUUGAUGGUUCUCAACCAUUUUGAUUGCUAUUUUACUCUGGUAGACCCCCAUAGCCGUUCCAUGUUUGAAAAUUAGUUUUACAGAAACUUCUUUUAAAUUUAUCAUUUUGGUUUUCACACAUUAACUUGUGUAGCUUGGACUACAGAAAGAAACUAAGUUGUGUCUUGCAAUACCUAUCAAUACAGACGUGAUUUUUAUUAGGGGCCCUUAAAACGCCAUUGCAGACCUCCAGUUUAUUAUUUCGUUGCAUGGACCCUCAAGGGGUCAUAUGAACCUCGGUUGAGAACUAGUGCUUUAGACAGAUAUUAGUUUAUAUCAUCCAAUCAGUCUGGCUUUUAAAAGAGCAAACCUACAAAAGAUAUACAUUGAUAUAUUAACACAUGCAUCGAAGUACAGUUGAAAAUUAUAAAAUAUCGAAGUAUACAUAUGUGCACGUAUAUACGCAUAAUUAUAUAUAUAUAUAUGCAUACAUAUAAGAAUGCAUACAUACAUUUUUUUCUAAAUGUAGCCACAUAUGGAUCGUUGGCGAUGUUUUCCCUCCGUCUUCCUUUUCUCUUGGACUUUUCUCCGUCUGCUGUUUUUGAUGAAGAGCUUUUCUCGAAACAUGGUAAAAACUACCUUUCGUUCCUUCCCUGAGCGUCUGCUAAUUUCUUUGCAUGUACUGCGUCCUCGCGUUUUUUUGUUGUGUUUUUUUUGGGGGGGGGGAGGAUUUACUACCUACAUGCAUGCAUACAUGAAUAUUUACAUACAUCUGUAUAUAUGAAUUAGCUUACGUUGGAUUAUGUCUUACAAAUGAAAGAGGGCAUAGGUUUUUUUAGUAAUGGAACUGUUUCACGCCACAGCGAUCAUCAGGUAAAAACUGGUAUUCCCACCUGAAGAUCGCAAUUGUUAGAGACUAGAAGCGCGAGACAAAUUCUCACUUUCAAAUUCGAUAACACACACAUAUAUACAUGCAUACACACACGCACAUGUGCGCGCACACACACACACACACACACACACACACACACACACACACACACACACACACACUUACACACACACACACAUACACACACAUAUAAGUAUUGAACAUAUGAAAAUAAAAUUCGUAUGAAUUUUUCAUGACAUAAUUGGAUAGGCACCGGUGUGGCUGUGUGGCAAGAGGCCUGAUAUAAAACCACAUGCUUCUGGGUUCACUCCUACUGCGUGGCACUUGGAAGGUGUGUUCUAUAGCCUCAGGCUAGCCAAAGCAUUGUGAAUUUUUUUAGAAGGCAGAAACUGAAAGAAGCCCGUCGUAUAUAUAUAUAUAUAUAUAUAUAUAUAUAUAUAUAUAUAUAUAUAUAUAAGAAAUAUUGAGUUUCUAAAUCUCUCGUAGAGAGGUGUACGGUGGUGGAGCUGAUAUAAUGGUUGUAUACUGUCAAUCUAAUAAGAACGUGACAGUAGGGGGGUACACCACCGUAUAUAGCCUAUAGGAGGCAUCGAACGCCUCCGACAGCUUCGACACAUUUUAAAAUGGAUAAAUGUGUCGAAGCUGUCAGGAGGCGUUCGAUGCCUCCUAGGGCUAUAUAACGGUGGUGUACCCCCUACUGUCACGUUCUUGUUAGAUUGACAGUAUACAACCAUUAUAUAUAUAUAUAUAUAUAAAGUUAAUCCAAACAAGAAAACACAAAAAAAAACACAGCAACGCGAGGACGUGGAACAAACAAAAGUAUUAUUGGUCGCUCAGGAAAGAAGGGAAGAAGGAAUAUAUAUAUAUAUAUAUAUAUAUAUAUAUAUAUAUAUAUAUAUAUAGCAAAUAAGAAAAUGGAGGAGAACAAUAGUUGGUUCAUCAACUUUAGGACAUUAAAAAUGUUAACUUAUUUAUUUAUUAAACUGAUAAUUAUAAUAACAUACAUACAUAUAGCAUAUUAUUCUAUGCAUAUAAGAUAAGGAUACGAGUGGCUAUUAAAAACAUCAAUAUAAAUUAGUACCCUUAGUGGGUUGAAUUCACAACCCCUAACUUUCUUGGAGUUAUAUGUAUAUAUAUAUUAGUAGUUCGGCAAAAGAAACCGAUGGAAUAAGUACUAGGCUUACAAAGAAUAAGUCCUCAGGUCGAUUUCUUCCCCCAGCAUUGUUGCAGUCAUAUGACUGAAAGAUGAAAAGUAUAUAUAUAUAUAUAUGUAUAUAUGUAUAUACUCUUUUACUUGCUUCAGUCACUUGACUGUGACCAUGUUGGAGCACCGCCUUUAGUCGACCAAAUCGACCAGGACUUAUUCUUUGUAAGCCUAGUACUUUUUCUAUCGGUAUCUUUUGCCGAACCGCUAAUUUAUGGGGACGCGAACACACCAGCAUCGGUUGUCAAGCGAUGUUGGAGGGACAAACACAGACAUACAAACACACACCGUAUAUAUGUAUAUAUACAUAUACAUUUAUCCGACGGGUUUCUUUCAGUUUCCGUCUACCAAAUCCAUUCAGAAGGCUUUGGUCGGCUCGAGCUCUAUAGUAGAAGACUAUUGCCCAAGGUGCCACACAGUGGGACUGGGACCCAGAACCAUGUGGAUGGUAAGCAAGCUACUUACCACACAGCCACACCUGCGCCUAUAUAUGUCUACUUAUUUUGAUGAGUGUAUUGAUCUCGUCUUAUGCAUGUAUACGCAAAGAAUAUGACAAAUCUGCAUGUAUACAUAAAUAUAUGCUUGAGUGUCCAUAUAUAUAUAUAUAGCCGAUACUCGGAUAUGCCAUUCUCGAACCUAAAUUGGUGUCAUUAUUAAAAUACCUAGGUUCAAGUGGAUCUUGAAAAUAAUUAAUAAUGAUUUAAUAAUAAUAAUAAUGAUAAUGAUAAUAGUAAUAAUAAUAAUAAUAAUAAUAAUAAUAAUAAUAAUAAUAAUAAUAAUAAUAAUAAUAAUAAUAAUAAUGAUGAUGAUGAUGAUGAUGAUGAUAAUAAUAAUAAUAAUAAUAAUAAUAAUAAUAAAAAAAAUAAUAAUAAUAAUAAUAAUAAUAAUAAUAAUAAUAAUAAUAAUAAUAAUUAAUAAUAAUAAUAAUAAUAAUAAUAAUAAUAAUAAUAAUAAUAAUAAUAAUCUGCUCUCUCACUCAAUAAUAAUAAUAAUAAUAAUAAUAAUAAUUAUAUGAUAUAAGAAAAAAUGCGCAAAACCAAAUAAGUGACACUCUAGUCAUAACACCAACUUGAACUUCUGACUUGUCUCUUGAGGGUAUCUGGAUAAUACUUGCAGUCAUCUUCUGCAAAUACCAAAGAAAACGCCGAUAUAACAACAACAUCAACAACAACAAUAAUAAUAGUAAUAAUAAUACUAACAAUAAUAAUAAUGAUAAUAAUGAUAAUAAUAAUAAUAAUGAUGAUGAUGAUAAUAAUAAUAAUAAUAAUGAUAAUAAUAAUAAUAAUAUAUGUAGGUAUGUAAUAUUGAUGCGUGUGUGUGUAGUAUAUACUUAUGUAAAUAUGUACACGUAUAUAUAUAUAUAUAUAUAUAUAUAUAUAUAUAUAUAUAUAUAUAUGCAUAUAUAGGGAGAUGAGCAAACAGAUAGAUAGAUAGAUAGAUAGAUAGAUAGAUAGAUAGAUAGAUAGAUAGAUAGAAAGAUAGAUAGACAGACAUAUNNNNNNNNNNNNNNNNNNNNNNNNNNNNNNNNNNNNNNNNNNNNNNNNNNNNNNNNNNNNNNNNNNNNNNNNNNNNNNNNNNNNNNNNNNNNNNNNNNNNGAUUCCAAAAAAGCUGUGUACAGUGAUUUGAAAUUGGAAAGCGAAAUAUUCAAACAUCGAUGAUGAUGAUGAUGAUGAUGAUGAUGAUAAUAAUAAUAAUAAUAAUAUAAUAAAUAAUAAUAAUAAUAAUAAUAAUAAUAAUAAUAAUAAUAAUAAUGGCUGUCGGUAAAAGGGGUCGAUAGAAUAUAUACCAGACUUCGAAUGUAAGAUUAUUCAUUCGAGUAAAAAUUCCUCAAGGUGAUACCCUAGCAGGGCCGCAGUCUACACACAGUUCCAUACAUGUAUAUGUGUGUGUGUGUGUGUCUGAGCUGUAUUAAUUAAUUCAAUAGAUAAAGAACACUAAUUACAUGUAACAGCAUUAAAUUUUAGAAUUAUGUAAUAUGUAUUUAAUAAUGAACUCGUUAUAAAUGAAAAAAAAAUUAAAAUACUAUUUUUCUAAGAAUAACAUAGUAGUUAAAUGUGAAGAAAAAAUAUUUUUACACAAUAUAACGAAAUGUAUUUAUGUACAAAUAAAUUAUAUAUUCGUAAACACAUGCAUCACAAAAAGCAACUAAAAUAGCUCUAAUUCUUGUCAAGUUCCGAUUAAAUAAUACAUAUUUUAUGCAAAGUCUGAAUUUCUGAGAUCUAAAAUAAAAUAACAGUAGACGAAUUGUUAAAUAUAAAGUUUAGAGUAGGUUGUGUGCUAAAAAUUUACACUUGAAUGAAUAAUUACCUACUAUAUUUUAAAUAAAAUUGAUCAUCAAAAAUUUAGAAAUAAAUUAGCACAAACGUCUCGUUUUCAGUAUUUAUUAGGUUACGUAAUAUUUAAACUAGCUUAGAAAUACUUGGAGAGUUAUCUUCCCUUGGUUCCAACGAAUUCUUUAACGCUGAAUGCCGUUGGGUGACGCGCCAGCAAGUUAUGUCACCAACUGCCUUACAAGUGUUAAUGUAAUAGGUAUACACAUAUAAAAACCGGCGUGACAUAAAUAGAACAGUCCCAGUAAAAUAAGUAACAGUAUAUAGUUGCAGCCUUAUAUAUUCUUUGUUCAAAUACUAACAAUCACGAAUUUACUAUUUAUUCAUAUGAGAAUAAUAAAAUUAUUAUAACUCAAAUAUGUUUCUCUUGUAUUCAGCUAAAAAUAUGUUCUAGCAGUAAAAGAAAAAAUAAUAAAAUUACGUACUAGAUAUUUCUUACGUCAAUGUUACAGCCAUGAUGUAAAACAGUAUUCUGUGUGUAUGCAGAGAUGUGUGCAUGCAUGGACGUAUAUAUGUAUAUAUGUGCGUCUGCGUGUGAGUGUAUGCGUGGGUGUGUGUACAUAAUAUGUAAUAAAUAUAAUAUGCAUAAUAUCGAACCGUAUAACUGUUGUGUGUGUAUACGUAUAUAGAACGCGCAUAGGUACAUAUAACCUCUACUCUUAUAUAUAGAUAAAUAUAUAAAUAUAUGUGUAUACACAUCUGUAUGUAUGCAUGCGUAUAUAUAUAUGUGUGUGUGUGAUUGUGUGUAAAUGUGUGUGUGUACACACACUCACACACACACACAUAAUUUAUAUAUAUAUAUAUAUUAUAUGCAUAUGUUUAUAUAUAUUUAUAAAUAUAAAUAUAGUAAAUAUUAUUUCUUUUUACUUAUAUGCAUAUGUAUAUAUAUAUAUAUAUAUAUAUAUAUAUAUAUAUAUAUAUAUAUAUAUAUAUAUAUAUAUAUAUAUAUAUUCAUAUGUUUAACGUAUAUUUAUUGUAGAUGAGUAGGUGAGUGAAUGCGGUAACUUAAGCAUUGUAUAUAUGCAUUUUGGAACCUUAAUAUUCAUUUCUUUAACAUUAGUAACCAAUAAUUUGGUGGUGAAUUUGCAUUGAUAACAUUAUUAUUUUUAACAUUAUUCAACCUUACAUUUUGCCGAACUCGACCUUGCUGUUCAGCUAUUCGAGGUCGACCAAACUAGCACCGGUCAAGUAAAGGGUGCAAUGCAAUCGACUGCCACCCUCCCUUCAAACUGCUAAAAAUGCUGCCAAAAUUAGAAAUAAUAAUAAUAAUAAUAAUAAUAAUGAUGAUGAUAAUAAGAAUAAUAAUAGUGUUGUUAUUAUUAUUAUUGUCAUUAUUAACAUUAUUAUUAUUAUUAUUAUUAUUAUUAUUAUUAUUAUUAUUAUUAUUAUUAUUGUUGUUGUUGUUGUUGUUGUAGUUGUUGUUGUUGCUGUUGUUGUCAUUAUUAUUAUUAUUGUUAUUAUCAUUAUUACUAUUAUUAUUAUUAUUAUUAUUAUUAUUAUUAUUAUUAUUAUUAUUAUUAUUAUUAUUAUUAUUAUCAUUGUUGUUCUUGUUGUUGUUGUUGUUACUGUUAUUAAGGCGGUGAACGUAGAGAAUGUGUAGCACGCGUGUGUCAAAGUGCACAGCAGCAUUUCGUCCGUUUUUACGUCCUAAGUUCAAACUCUGCCGAGGUCGAUUUUGUCUUUCAUCAUUUCAUGAUCGAGAGAAUAAGUACCAGUUGAACAUUGGAGUCGAUAUUGUCGACAUAUUCUCCUCCCACGAAAUUUCUGGCCUCGGGUUAAAAUUUGAGAUUAUUAUUAUCAUUAAGCCAGUGAGAAGGCAGCGUUAAGAUUUCUGGUUCUGGUUCUUUACGUUCUGAGUUCAAAUUCCACCAAAGAGACAUUGUCUUCUUCUUCAUUUUGGUAUACAUGUAAUCGACUUUCCUACCCCCUCAAAAAACUGCUCAUCCUCUGGAAAUAUAUUUGAAACUGCAUAUAAAUUAAUAUUGAAACUGAAUAUAAAUUGAUAUUCAUACUGAUGUAGUUUGAAUAUUAACAAAAUUUUCCUGUUAUACUUUGAUGUAAAAUAGAAAAUAGAAAAUAUUAUUAAUGCAGCUAAGUGCAGCAUACAUGUAAUAAAUGUUUAUAAAUCAUUCGUAUACCACACAAUACAUAUACACGCAGUCACAACAGGACUCAUAAGAAGUAUGUGGUGACGAAUUUUGUUUCCAAUCUCAAGAUUCUGGGUUCAGUCCUACUGCAUGGCAACUUCGGCAAGUUCUUUCUGCAAAAGCCCCGAGCGAGCAAAAAGGUUUCUGAGUGGAGUUCUUGGAUGGAAACAGGGAGAUGACAUCAUAUAUACGUUCACACACACAUACAUACACAUGUAUAUAUAUGUGUGUGUGUGUGUGUGUGUCUGUAUGUCUACAUGUAUGUAUAUAAAGAGCUGGAUAAAUAUACGAGCAUAAAUGUAUAUAUAUAAAUAUAUAUUAUAUAUAUGUGUGAGUGCAUGCAUGUAUAUGAAUAUACAUACACAUAUGUAUACAGUGAUAGAUAGAUAUAGAUAUAUACAUACGAAAAGUUUUUAUACAUGUUUUACACACACACAAACACACACGCAUAGGAUAUAUGUGUGUGUCAUUGCACGUAUUUAUAACUAUAUACAUAUAUAAUUAUAUACAUCAAUAUAUUUAUGUGUGUAUGUGUUUGUAGGUGGGUGUCGGUGUGUGUGUGUUCGCGUGUG